rnacentral:lncRNA from 1 species
AAUUUAAAUAAUUAAAUGGUUCAGUUAGAUGGUCAAUAUUACUAUUUGAGUAUUUGUGAACUUGUUUGAGUUGAUGUUUCUUUAUAAUGCAUGCAAUUGGAGAUUUAUGGAUUUUUGGUAUUAGAUUUAUGCAUCGUGGUUUUCUACCCCUCGGGAUAGUCGGUUUUUAAAAUGGAGUUGCCGAGUGGAAAACAGUUUUAAAAAGAUUUUCGAAUGAUUUUUAUCAAUGAUUAAAUAGAGUUUAAAAACAAAGCUUCCGGGUGGGGAGCACUUUUAAAUAGGAUGACUGUUGUAUUGUGCAUCGCAUCAUCCAGCGCCUAAGGAGUGUUUAGAGGCAUGCAUCAUUUCUAAGGAUCGCUAGCUGUAUGGAUAUGCAUUGUAUGAAUUGUUUGUGGAUUGGUAAAUGUAGGUUGUUGUUGUGAUCCUGAUGUUAUUGUUGGUACGCCGUGCAAAUACAAAGGAGAUUCUGUCCGAGUGGCCAGAGGAAUUUUAUAUUUGUGGCGGGUCUGUACGUCACGUGGGCCAGGUUGAAUAAAAAAAAUGACUCGUUUUUCGCAACUCCGUUAUUAAAGAUUGUAUUCAUAUUAAAAGGCUUUUAAAAUUCGCCCCGGGUGUGACACUAUAUAAU